rnacentral:misc_RNA from 1 species
UUGUGAAAUCACAUUAUCCAUCUGCAGCAACAGGACACAAGCAAAGAACAUCAAUCAAAAGUGCAAUUUACAGAUUCACAGCAAUUCUUAAAUUUUUUGCUUCAAUUUUCUUCAAAAAUUCUUUCUAUCAACCAAAUUUAUCAUGAUAUACCAUGUGUAACAGACAUAACAGACAAUGUGUAUCACUAUAACUCGGAUUAGAAAUAAGGACCAUCAUGCACCAUCAAGCAAACAAGUAUCACAGGGAAUUGCCAAUAGAAAAGUGAUGUUUAAUAACCAGAUAUAGGAAGCACAUCACGCAUGCAUGGCACAGAAAUAAUUAAGGUAUUCAAUAUAAGAGGGACAAUAUAGCUCCAUCACCACAUUUGUUUACAUCAAAAUGCCACACACCCAGGACACAAUGCAGUGCAAAGAUGGCACUAUGGCACACAAUUAUUAACAUUCAGGAAUCCACCAAGGAAUUAUUUGCCCCAGAGCACUAACAAAUGGUACCAAUGCUGCACAACAUACAAGGAAAAAAAUCAAUGUCAAAAAAAUAACAGAAUUAAGGAACUUCACAUGCAUGGGAAAGCAAUUGUUUCGCCCUCCUAAAUCAUAGCACUACUUUCAAAGGGACUGCUUAUAAAAUAUUAAAGGUGAAUUAAGUUUUCUCAUAAGACCAAUAUGCCCAACAGUCUAUAUGGGUCAAACGGCACAUGCACCCCAUGCAGACUUCUAAUUUUCCUUGAUCUAUGUGCCGUGAAGAAAUUGUCAAUACAUCCCCCCCAUAAAGCCUCUUUCACAAUUCCUUUAUCCAUAGCACAUGCAUAUGCAUAUUGACAUGGAGCACAUAAAUGAGAAACUACCAAACCUAAAUCAUAGGGCCGCAAAUUAGUUUUGACUAACCAUUUGUGAUCACCAAGAGAUUAAAGCCAAAAUAUAUUCACCAGAAGAGGCACACUAUUAGAACCAAGGAUGUGGUAGACUAAUCUGCAACACUGCCAUGAUGUCAUCAAAGUAUAAUGGUACACUCAAGCGCGAAAAGAUGCCUUUGAGCCAUGGCAAGAUCAGACUUUUCAAUUUUAGAUGCCUAAAAAGUCUAAGGUUCAAGAAACUAGAGUGCUUUCAAAUUUGAAUUCUUAAUAUGCAUGUAAAAGUUUUGCAUUUCGCAAUUUGGAACUUAUUAUAUUAUUUGAUAAUUUGGAAAGAGAAAGAAAGAAAGGGAGGAGAGAGAGAGAGAGAUCUAAUAGAAUAAGAUAUGGAUGUGCAUUGGCAUGCGUACACAUGCUCAAAACAUAGAAUUAAUGUGCCACUGUAAAUGGAGCCAGUUCUGUACAUUAUACCUGUCCUGUACUUCGGCUAAUGGA